rnacentral:lncRNA from 1 species
AUGUUGCACUUUGGCCGGCACGGCUUGUGUCCAGAGAGACACAACAGGCAGACAGGAUUUAACCCAGAGAAUAGUAACACUGCUGUUGCUCCCCAAAAUGUAGGGAACACAGCCUUCUCUCAAUGCAGAGAGCAUUUCAGGAAUGUUGGGAGAUGUUGCACUUUGGCAGGCAUGACUUGGCCAGACAGACACUACAGGCAGACAGAUUUAACCCAGAGAAAAGAAACUGCGUCAGUUGUGAAAUUUAUUUAAAACCAAACCAUGUCCCAAAAUCCCAGCCAGCACUUUUUCUCUCCCAAAGGCUUUAUCUCCUUUUCCUACUUUUAGUUCUCUUUUAGUUUAAAGUGACCAGUUCCCCAAUCCCAAACAAAACCCCAGCAUUUCUCUCCCCGUCCCAAAUGCUUUCUUUCACAAAAUGCCUUGUUUUUCUUCUUUCUCUCUCUCUCUUCCCAAAACCUUAAGCUUCUCUCCUUCUCCUUUCUCCAAACCUCCUCUAAAGUAAAUAAAUUCUUUUUCCAAUGGCUCCCUCCUCCCAACCAUGCAGCAGCAGCAGGAGCAGCAAAAACCAACCACCCUCAUCCCUUUGCCCGGUCAGAAUGAGGCUCCAAGGAAUGUGGGCGGGGUUUUAAGGAGGAUGUCCAAAACCCCUCCUCUUGCACAAACGUGAGCACUGAUUGGCAGGGAGGCAAGCCAGGCUUAGCUUCUCCUCCCUGCAAACAUAGUUUGGUUGCAUUAAAAACGCGUUGUCAUACAUCUGAAGCUAAUUCCAAGCUCAUUAAAUCAAUGGACUCAAACAUUUGAAAUUUAAAAGUUAAUUCUGAUGUGCUAUUGUGUCAGAACCCUGUUCAGAACCCCAAAAACACCUGAUUUAAUUACUAUUUCUGAGAAUUAUGAGUAAAUCGCACAUGCCUACUGUUCACUAAUAAAUGACAGAUCCAGGAGCUUUACGGAGGGAGCAUUUGAAACCUGUUGUGCUGCCCACUAUGUGUUCAAAAUGGUUGUUGUUGUUCUUGUUCUUGCUGUUUUCCUUCAGAUCAUUUUUGAUUUAUCAUGACCCUAGGGUGAGCCUAUCACAGGGUUACCUUGCGGCUUGUUUACACUGGUCCUCUGUCCCAAAUUGGACCUGACGUUGCUCCUGGAUAUCCAAAUGAUACCUAAGGGCUUCCAACCCUUAAGUGAGAUAAACCUAGAUUAACUUGGCUGUAUCCCAUAUUCACCAAAGUUCGCCCUACACUUCAGGAUGAAUGUGAACAGCAUUGCCAGCUCUAAUCCAAAGCAAUUCAUCCACAUGGACUGGCACUGCCAUCCUCUUUUCCGAAGUACAUUGCUGGUUGGUUGAAUCCAACCCCAAAUAUUAAGGAAUUAUUGCAAAAAGGAGUCUAAAGUAGCAUCUGAAUUAGUCUUGAGCCUGUUGUAAGAGAAAAUACCAAACUAUAAUAAAAAUCAUAUUUUCUCCUGCUCCCAGAACAGAAUAGAAACUUACAAAAUACCAUAUAAUCCGAUUAUUAUUGUCCUAGCACUGUGAAAUUCAGGAUUAAUGAAAUCUUUAUCAUUUAAGAAGCAUGCUUGGUGCCUUGGGAAUCCAUGUGAGGCCAUCUGUUGACACAGGAUUGUUUUUAGUCAGCAGAGACAGUGAAGCAUUGUAUUUUGCAGUUUGCCACCUGAAAAAGGAAGGCAUUCAUUGAAUGCAUGCUUUUAUAUUCAGGAAAACUUGAAAAACUUGAGUCCACAUUUUUCUUGUUCAUUACUUUUCCCUUUCUUCCUGUACUGUAUCCAAAUGAUUAACUCCAUGAGAUUUGUGCCAAGCAAAUAAAAAGGAAGGGGGAAAUACAAAUACAAAUAAAAAAGGACAAGAAGUACUAAUGCCAAAACAAAUGCAACCUUCUACAAUUUUUAUCUGAAAAUCAAAGAGGGGUGAUUAAUCUCUGUAUAUAGAUACACAGAGAAAUAGAACAAGUUCUAAUCUUCAUGCCAGGCACACAUAUUUCUUUAAAAUGAAGCUGCACAUAUUCUGCUGAGUGCAGCAACUGGAAAGUUCACAAGGUAAAUCUUCCCUUAAAAUGCUAGAUAAUGUAUACAUUGUCCAAGUAGAUAAAGUUUUUAAUGAUUCCUCAUUAGUAUUGCUCUGACUACAAUGAAUAAUAGCAAUAAUACCUUGUCUAUCACUUUGCAAGCCUUGUUUAUCUCAAAAUGGCUGUAUUUCAGAAUUCGAAACACAUAUUAGAUAUCUUUAUUGAAAACUGCUACUGGAUCUUUAUUUUACUAAAAUUUAUGAAGUAUAAUUCCACAAUUUAAAUUAGACCGUGGAUUGGUUAUAAAUUUGUAAGAUUGCACUACACAAGUCUAUAAAACAUGGACUCAUUGUGCAGCAUAGCAAGAGUCCUCCCCACAUGUUUUUCCAUAGUCAUAUCAAAGGGAAUUGCAUCCUUGUGUUAUGAAGAACUUUUCAAUAACUUUAAAGCAUAGGUUCAUUUUAUUGCAAUUUCAGUGAGAGGUAUGUCAGAACUUUUACAGAACAACAUUUAGACAUAAAGACAUACAGAUUCUAUGCAACUGCAUUGGAUUCACAAACAACCUACUAUAUUGGCUAACAAACAGACAAAGGGGGUUACAUUUUCACUCAGAUUCACACACAUGUACAUGCAUCCAUCUUCAUGCACACAUCUAAAUAUUACCAUAUCCUUUCUCGCUCCUUGGAGAAGCACCUGCUCAGGCUAGGCCCUACUUCUCUUCAGCCUGCCCAGACAAAACACCCAAACUCCAAAACUCCAAAAUGCAUCCUUUUCCCUAAGAACAAUGCCAAGGAUCAGACUCCUGCUUCCAUACAGCAGAACUGACUCCCUGCAACACGUAUCAUGACUCCAAAAUGCAUUCCUUCCUCUUCCCUUGAGAAAGGGAGGCCCAAAAGUGACCAGACUACUUCCAUUGCAUACCUGCUACUCCCAUACACCAUCUCCACUGAGCAUGGUGUGUGAGCAGCGUCACUGUCUGUCACACUUUCUGGAUUGUUAUAAGGUCUCUUAUAUAGCAAUAUUUCGCUGAUCUUGUCCCACAGUUGUAAAUGAAUGAUAGAUGUCUUCCAUCCUGGCUCCAUCUCUGUUUCCUGGACCAGAUGUUGAUUCUUCUUUAUUGGUGUUGGCCUUGUGUUGACUUCCUUCUUAACAGUUAUAAACAUUUCUUUAAUUCGAUGUAAACAUUUCUCUUAUCAUUGUCACAAUUCUAAUCACAGUUUAACAGGCAGGUCAACUAUUUCAGGUCUUAUUAGCAACUUUUAAUUACAGUUCAGCAAGCAGGCAGUUAGUCAUUGUAGACCUUAAUAUUUUUGAAUGGUGUCUCCAAAAAUAUUUGCUCUCAUUCAUACAUCUUCCAUACAGUUCAUUCAAACCAUAUAUCAUAUUUUGUCACGCUUAGUCUCAUUCUCCCUGGCAGCAUUCACUGUGCCUAUCUGCUAAUCUUCAUACCUAAUAGUCUCAAAUAAUGGAAGCUCUGCCUCAAGGGUUGUGGAAGGUAAGUCCCAAGCACACAGAAAUGAUACCUAGAAACUUUGUUUGCUGAGCCAAAGGAUAAGAUGGUAACCCGUGCAUUAAAAACAAACAAACAACUGGAUGGGGCAGCUAAAUCUUUCUUCAAUGAUAAGAGUCAAUGAUAUCCACUGUACCUGAAGGGAGCGGGUUAAUUUAAGUGCCUUUCCUCCAAUACCCUUUUGCUCUCCUUGAUGAUUGGGUCACUGUGUCCAUCGGUUUAAGGGCUGUCAUAGAUUCCAGUUAUAUAGAAGCACUUUUAUUAGUACAGUGGGUAGAAGAAAGCAGAAAGUAGUCCACUGACCCUGUGUCUGCCUUGAUAUUAAUCUGAUUGCUUCAAUUCUGCUGUUUUCAGAAUCUGAGUUUUCAAUACUUCCAUAACCUGCUUAACUGGGUAGAAACGGAGAUACAAAAUUAUCUUAUAUUGGACAUAAUUAACCACCUUAGGUUCUUUGAACAAAGUGAACAUUUAAUUGGAUUGCUGAGACAACUUUGGUCAGUCAUGGAGACUUUCAAAAGCUGCCCAUUCUGACUACACUCUGCUCUUGAAUCUUUAGCAUGCGAUUCAGUGCAAAAUGAUGUGAAGGCUUAAAAAAUUCCGGUCUAAUACAUACAGAGUACAUAUGUCUAUAAGUUGCAUCCACUAAUAUCUUUUAAUACUUGGACAGUUUUCUAAAUGCUUGACAUUAAUCAUUUUAGCAUCAAUAUAAAAAAGUAAUGAUAUUGCAUAUUACCUUUCCAAGCAGUAGGAAAUUUCAGGAGUGUUUA